AUGGGCUUCCAUACAAUUUAAUGAGGGCUGUUUUUUAAAAUGUGUGAUUUUUGAACAGAACAGUGUUAUACAUAGUCCAGUACAGUAGGUGGUGGUAUGACCCUUGGUAGAUAUUGUAUCUUUAGUAAAGGCUGGCACACUAACACAGUGCACACAGCUUGGCAGACGGAGAGCGAACAGUCGGGCAGCAGGAUGGCAAACGCUCCGCUUCAGUCAUUCAACGUCUUUCUGACGGAGCGACUGACCGCAGCUGCGAUGGACAUCUACGGCUUCGUUGAAAAGACAAUAAUAGAGUACCAGGAGGAGGUGUACCGGACCAAACUGGAGAACCAGAGGCUGCAGCGGCUGCUGGAUUUGGUCUACAAACCAGAGAUAAGACUGCACAGGGCAGAUUCAAGGCAGAUCGAUUUUCCCACACCGACACAGAAGGUUUGUGCUCAGGAGCAGAAGAUACAGAAGGAAAGUAUUCCCAGUGAGGCUGAUGAGGAGUCGGUCAUCCUGCCCGUUAAAGAGAAGCUGACUGAACCCUGGACCAGGUCUGUGGAGACACCAGUAGGUCCGGAAUACAGCAGCAUUACAGACACACUAACUCAAACUAUCACAGUUGGAGAACAUGAAGAAAAUGAGAUACCAGACGACCUCACUCAAAUUGUGAAAGUUGGAGAGCACGGCGACUACGAAGCACCAGACAGCCUAACUCGAGUCGUAACAGUCGGAGAGCAACUACAAUAUGAGACACCAUCACAACAUGAGCAACCGUUACCAUCCUUUGGACUAUCUCCAAUAUAUACAAAGAAGAAAAACAUGUUUUUUUGUAAUAUUUGCUGCCAGCCUUUUGUUAAAAAAGUCGAGUUGAAAUCACACCUUGCUGCUCAUGCAACACAAAGUUCACCAAAGUCCAGCAACAAAGCGUUCACCUGCUUCGUCUGCGGCAGAAGAACAGGCACCCGGAGUCAAAUGAUCUGCCACAUGAGAACGCACACCGGCGAGAAACCAUUCGGCUGUCCCAUUUGUGGCAACCGAUACAAACUGAAAGGUCACAUUAAAGAACACAUGAGGACUCACACCGGGGAGAGGCCUUACGCCUGCUACAUCUGUGGCCGAAGCUUCAACAGAUCUUCGACCAUGAGCAAACACGCCAGGAUCAAACACAGGGAGUACAUGCCGUUCAAGUGCAUGCAGUGCAGCCAGCGCUUCCCUCUGCUCGUCGUGUUGAAGCGACACAUGAAGACAGCCCACGAUGUCAUAUCCUCUGUAUGAGAUAAUGUUGAUGUAGCAACUCUUGACUGCUAUUAAAGGCAUACUAUGCAGGAUCUUUCUGUUGCACCAUUCAAAGUUGGCUUCUCCUCCCUGGCCUGAUGGAGCACCUUCGGUUGAGCUACACAGGGCAUGAAUGAGGAGAGGGAGCAACCUUAGUGAGAACAAAGCAGUGAAUCAGAGAGUAAAAGGUUAUUUUCUGAUGGUUUCACUAAAGCGUAAAACAAACAUGGCCACACAGAUGCUAUAUUUCUGCACACUGACCUGCAUCUUGUUAAAGUCCAGGCGAAAUGAGACAUUUUUACCCUUUAAGAUCAGCAUCCCCAUAGCCAUACUGUACCCCUAUUUAACAAUGUACGCUACAGCUGCUUGACCGAGGUGAUGUAACACACAGCACUACUGACUACUGCGACAAGUCCCUCCCUAGCUGCCUCCUGUUUUUACAGGAAAUACGUAAAUAUGUGGAAGCAAAUAGCACUCUGAUUUCCGUUUCAUGUGGACUCAGAUGGGGAGUAGAGGAGAGAGAUAAACAGAGACAGUGAUGUAACCUGGUCGCUAUGUCUUCAUAGAGUGCCGAACUCGGACCCUGCGCACUGCCCAAAGGCUGACGCCCAGAAAUGUCCCAAACACAGCAAAAUAAGAAAAUACAGGUGGAGGGCUGCAGGGUCUCUGCACAUACAGAAACCCAACACACUUUUAGUGGGUAUGAGCCACACAUAGUGAUAAUUUGGAGAUUGUUUUUAUGAGUCUAUACACUGUUUUUUGGGAAAAUCCUGCAUAGUAUGCCUUUAAAGUUGAGGCAGACGACCACCCACCUAGAGCCGAAGGGUCUGUCCUAGGUUUCUGCCUCUUAACAGGCAGUUUUUCCUUGCCCUUGUCGCCAAGUGCUUGCUCAUGGUGGUACUGUUGGGUCUCUGUAAAUAAUGUUAUAAAGAGUUCGGUCUAGACCUGCUCUAUUUGAAAAGUGUCCUGAGAUAACUUCUGUUAUGAAUUGGGGCUAUACAAAUAAAAUUUAAUUGAAAUUGAAAUGAAAUUGAAUUGGUAACACCUGUGUUUACCCUACUAUUUCAUGUCAAAAUGGCUGCUGUGAAAAAGGUCUAAUAUAUUUAUUUUGGCUUGAUUUGUUGUACCACUCAGGUCAUAAUCAAAAUAGAUUAUUACAUUUUCAAUAACACAUACAUAUGUGUAAAAUGAUAAUGCUUCCAUAGGCUUACGUCAUUGUUUUCCAAAAGCUCUGUUUUCCCCAUCCACACCAAAAUGCGAGUUCAGCAAUUUCAUAUUAAUUCAGUGGUGACAGAAUAUUCAGAAAUAAACUGGACAAGAGAACCGGAGAGAAAAAGUCAGUUUAGUGUGGUUGUAGUCUGAGAAGUUUGACUCAUUCAAUGCUACAAACAGUAAAUACAAAUGCAUAACCAUGAAACUAACACUGUACAGACUCUAGCUACCAACACACAUAAACAGUAUCCAUUUCAGUAUGAACCUUCCUCCCAUCAGUGGAUGCCAAGCUCAGAGAGGCUGUUUUAGAAAACAUAUUAGUAUGUAACCCAAACCGCAUGGAAACAUCUCCUGGCACACCGCACAAAUCUCUCCACCCCUGAGUCGGUUAGCCCACGCUAGCUGCCGCUAUUUAUAGCCAUGACAGAGCAGCUAAAAGAUGGCCGGGGGGCAGCGGGCCGCACUGUACGUCAGAAGAGAUUGGCGCUUUCUUUGUUGUGGAGCAGCAUGUCCAGACUGCUGGCUGGAUUGGGAAUAAUAACAGAGAUCCUUAGUGAUGUGCCUCGCAGUCCUC